AUAAAACUUACAGGAGUGAGUUUCUCACUUCUGGGUCUAACUUUCGGUUUUAUUUUCGAGACAAUUCUUCAAAAUUCUAAAUUAUUAACUACAGAAUUUAUAAACAUUCCAGUUAGAAAUCAAAACUUAUGCACAAAAAUAAAACAGACGAAAUGGAGUCGUCUCAAUAAUAAGAAUACAUUAAUAAGUCAGUGAAUAUUAGAUGUGACAGUACCGAAAUAAUUGUGACCAUUUCAAGAAGGUGUUAGGAACUUUUGAAUAAGUUAGAUCUGAUCAAGAUGUAAGUAAAGAAUAAAAAAACUAAUCAAAAUCCAAUUGACCACUAAAAGACUUUCGAAGAAUUUAUUAAAUAAAAACUAACUAAUGAAAUUCCAAUUGACCAGUAGAAGACUUCCGAAUAAUUUAUUAAAUAAUCUUUAUUAAAAGUAUGUAAUUGUGCCUAAUGAGGGAGGCCCAAGUCACCUUCCAAUAGGAAAAGUGCCCAAAAGCAAGACUAAAGAAAAGCAAGAGAAUAUAGGAAACAAGGAGAAAAUAGAAAAUAAUCAUUGAAACUUUUUCUAAUAUAAAUUUUAUUGAAAACCCCAUUAUUCAAAAAUUGUAGACCUCGUCCCCAGUUACCCAGUAACUUCAAGAUCUUCUGGUCAGCUAUGUGAAUCACGAUAAGAAGUCUUCCACAGUGAGCGAA